CAAAACAUAGCAUGAUAUUUUCCCCCUUGAGUCACUAAGAUCUUUUUAUGUUGUUCACUUGUUUGUGUUUGAUACAAGUUGAAGACUUGAACUAUCCUUUGGUUCGCUUUUGCUCCUCUAUCACAUUCCAUUAUUCUCAAUAUCUCUGCACAAUCUCUCAGGCUACUCAACACUCAACAACACUCUGUAUAUAUAGUGACAAUUUCAGAAGCAUGGAAUCCGCCAAAACAAUGUUUAUUACAUCUCCACCCUUCCCUCCAAGAACUCUCCUUUCUUCUACCUCUUCGGCUUCAGUUCUGAUGCUUCAUGAACAAGCUGCACCUUUAGUUGCUUCUUGGUCUUCAAGUUUUGCUGCUCAGCAUUUUCCUACCUCUGUUCUCUCGCAAGAGCAGCGUGAUGAGUAUAAGCCUCUGCUUCACUUGUAUAAGGAAGAUAAGAACUCUCAGGUUACAUCAAAUACAAGAAAUGUGGAUACGGGCUUGGUCCGCGAUAAUGAUAGCAAUGAUAAUGCUGAUCAGUUAGUGCAUCACUUUAGGCAGCAGUUGCAACUCUGGUCACAUUUGCAGAAUGUAUUGAAAUCCUCAACAGGGGAAACUGCUGCGGCUUCAUCUCUGCAGCCCGAAAGAGUUGAUUCAGAUAGACCUGCAGAUGGUUUGCAAUUUGAUGCAGUAUCCCUCUCUAAGCAAGCUCUGUCGGCCGCAAAACAAGCAGCAUUAGUGGCUGAAGAGAUGAAAAUGAUUGAAGAUGACGAAGAUGAUGAUCCACUUCCUCUUGGUCUGGCUUCCACAAGCUUAGCUGACACUUCAAUUGGAAAGAAUAAAAUUGUGCGGUCAAGAAGGCUUCUAGAAAGGAGAUUGAAGCAAAGAAAAGUUUCAAAAUCAAAAUUUCUUGAUGAAGAAAGUUAUCUUGCAAGAAAAUCAGACCUACAGGGAAGGCUACAAGUAGAAAAGAAGAUAAAGGAAGGAUUCGAUCAAAAUGAUCCCCUGCGCUUGUUCUUGUGGGGUCCUGAGACAAAGAAACUUUUGACCUCUGAAGAAGAGUCUCAAUUGUUUGUUCAGCUACAGGAUUUUCUGAGAUUAGAAGAAGUAAAGAUCAGGCUCCAAUCUCAAUUUGGACGGGAACCAACUUUGAUUGAAUGGGCUGAAGGUGUGGGUCUUAGCUGCCAUGCCCUGCAGACACAGAUCCAUCAUGGUAACAUAAUCAGAGGAAAGAUAAUUAAUGCCAAUUUACGGAUGGUUGUUCAUAUUGCUAAACAGUAUCAGGGUCGUGGUCUCAGUCUUCAGGACUUAUUGCAGGAGGGAAGUAUGGGACUUAUGAAGAGUGUUGAAAGGUUUAAACCUCGAGUUGGUUGCCGGUUUGGUACCUAUGCAUACUGGUGGAUAAGGCAAACAAUUAGAAAGGCCAUAUUUCUACAUUCCAGGAGAGUUUAUAUACCCUUUUGGGCAAGGUCAUGGAAGCAAAGAAAUUAUUCAUUCAAGAAGGAAAUCUUCACCCCAGUAAAGAAGAAUUAGCAGAAAGGGUAGGAAUUACCGUAGAAAAGUUUGAAAAGUUGUUAUUUUCUGCAAGAAUACCAAUAUCAAUGCAGCAACCUGUGUGGGCAGACCAAGAUACAACUUACCAGGAAAUUACUGCAGAUAGUGCAAUUGAGAUCCCAGGCUUGAGUGUCGAAAAAGAGCUUAUGAGGAGGCACGUGCGCAACCUCCUAAGCAUCUUAAGCCCAAAGGAGAAGAGGAUAGUCAGUCUAAGAUUUGGUAUCGAGGAUGGCCGCGAGAAAUCUCUGCAAGAAAUUGGAAACGUACUUGGUUUGACAAAGGAGAGGGUCCGACAGUUGGAGAGCCGAGCACUGAAGAAGCUCAAGCAGUGCCUUGAGAGCGAAGGACUUCAUGCAUAUAUGGACUUGAUUGUAUAGUGAUAGUAUAGUACUUGUGUAUACACCAAGGUUAUGCCAAUUCAUCUUACUUUGCUUUAAGUACAAAAGCAGUGACUAUUUGAAGGAAAAUCUUCACACUCAGCCAUGGUAAUUGAGGAUGGAACUGCAUGACCAACCAAAGAACUUGUACUGUUGUAAGAAAGAAAAUUCAAGUAAAAAAGAAAAGAAUGAAUAUGGUUGAUUUAUAUGCACACUCAGAUAAUUGGUGUUUGUUUUCAUUAUUUUCUACAGAUUUUGUUUUGUU